GGGGAUGUCCGGUUUCGACAGGGUCGGACGCCAGGCCAUUGCACGUCGAGGUGCCCGAGGCCUCGUAAAAACGGGCAAACCUGUAGCUGCGAAACAACCGCAACUCG
rnacentral:tmRNA from 1 species